rnacentral:rRNA from 1 species
AGCGAACGCUGGCGGCAGGCUUAACACAUGCAAGUCGAGCGGGCAUCCUUGUGGUGUCAGCGGCAGACGGGUGAGUAACGCGUGGGAACGUGCCCUUCGGUUCGGAAUAACUCAGGGAAACUUGAGCUAAUACCGGAUACGUGCGAGAGCAGAAAGGUUUAUCUGCCGAAGGAUCGGCCCGCGUCUGAUUAGCUAGUUGGUGAGGUUAUGGCUCACCAAGGCCACGAUCAGUAGCUGGUCUGAGAGGAUGAUCAGCCACACUGGGACUGAGACACGGCCCAGACUCCUACGGGAGGCAGCAGUGGGGAAUAUUGGACAAUGGGGGCAACCCUGAUCCAGCCAUGCCGCGUGAGUGAUGACGGCCUUAGGGUUGUAAAGCUCUUUUCUCCGGGACGAUAAUGACGGUACCGGAGGAAUAAGCCCCGGCUAACUUCGUG